GAUGAACGCUGGCGGCGUGCCUAAUACAUGCAAGUCGAGCGGACGGACGAGAAGCUUGCUUUUCUGAUGUUAGCGGCGGACGGGUGAGUAACACGUGGAUAACCUACCUAUAAGACUGGGAUAACUUCGGGAAACCGAAUCUAAUACCCGAUAAUAUUUUGAACCGCAUGGUUCAAAAGUGAAAGACCGUCUUGCUGUCACUUAGAGAUGGAUCCGCGCUGCAUUAGCUAGUUGGUAAGGUAACGGCUUACCAAGGCAACGAUGCAUAGCCGACCUGAGAGGGUGAUCGGCCACACUGGAACUGAGACACGGUCCAGACUCCUACGGGAGGCAGCAGUAGGGAAUAUUCCGCAAUGGGCGAAAGCCUGACGGAGCAACGCCGCGUGAGUGAUGAAGGUCUUCGGAUCGUAAAACUCUGUUAUUAGGGAAGAACAUAUGUGUAAGUAAAUGUGCACAUCUUGACGGUACCUAAUCAGAAAGCAACGGCUAACUACGUG
rnacentral:rRNA from 1 species